rnacentral:tRNA from 1 species
GGGCUCUUGGCACAGGGGUAGUGUGCACACCUUGCAUGUGUGAGGUUGUGGGUUCAAAUCCCACAGUGUCCA